rnacentral:lncRNA from 1 species
UAAAAGAGGGCAAAAAUUGCUCUGAUAUUAGUUCUUACAUAUACAUACAAUAUAUUUUAUAAUGUUAUUGCAUAAAAACUGGCAAAACUGUUUUUAUUUUCCUGAUAUUUGGAAUGCUUAUAUUUUGCAGUUAAACUGGUUUGUUUUUUAAUAAUUUUGAUAUAUUAUUUCUAACACAUAAGUUAAUACAGGAGAUUUCAGCUGUUUUCUCAAAUAACACAUUGUCUUAUGUGGAUUUCUUUCACUAAUAAGAAAAGAAGCACAUUGGAUAUAAGCACCAGUGUAUACCUGUUUUCUCUGAUUAGUUUUGAAGUGCUUAAUUUGCAACAUUACCAUUGUUCUAGGCUUCCUGGUCAUUCUUGUGUCUCUUCAUCAGCUUUCAGCCUGUGCACCGCCAUGGUGGAUGCAAAUAAACAGCACAAGACAAAGAGUAGAACAAUGGAAGGCUGUGUGCGGUCAAGGCAGCAGAGGGCCAUUAGGAACAAGUGGGUCUUUCUGGGAUUAUUUGGAUGGAAGCUGACUUUGAAAAGGCUAAGCUGUCCCAAGGAGGCCCACCAGCUCUGUAGGGACACUGGCCGUGGUUCAUCUUGCAGAAAUGUUCAGCAAAAGCCCCGAUGA